rnacentral:lncRNA from 1 species
GUGUCUCCUCCUACUAGACUCUGAAUCCUGCAAGGAACUCGGGGAUUCUGCCUGUUCUGCUCUCCUGUGCUCAGAACAGUGCGUGGCCCCAGAGGGUGGAAUAUUGGAUGAACUGAAAUCAGUUUAAUGAGCUACCUUAAACAAAAGGAAAUGCAUUCAAAAUCGAUUGGAAAGGACCCUUCCUGGAAGUGAUCAACUUCCCCUUCUUCUGAGCAAUUUAUACCACCUCCCAACAGGAUCUCCGGUGUCCAGGGACUAGGGCUAAAGGCCUGAGUGGCUUGGUCUGCCUUCCCUAAAACACCUCAAUGAUCCAAUGCCAAGUUUUUGAUCUUUAGUAGAUUUAUCCUUGGUUCCUGUAUUAGUCUGCUUUCUGUCAUUGUAAUAAAAUCCCGGAAACUGGCACACUUAUAAAGAAAAGAGGUUUAUUUAGCUCAUGGUGUUGGAGGCUGAAAGUCCAAAUGGCAUAUUGCUGCCUCUGGCAAGGCCCCCUUCACUACCUCACCUUAUGGUGGAUGGCAUUACAAUGACGGCGACAUAUAGGGGAAGGAUCCGUCGUUUGCCAGGACAGGAAGCCGGUGAGAGGGCAGGGGCUCUUUUCUAAGAGCUCAUUCUCACAAGAACUGUCUGACGCCUUCUGAGAGCAGAGCCUCUCCGACCUCCCUCAGGGCUCCACCCCUUAAAGGGUCCACCACCUGCACGCGUGAAUCACGCCUCGGAGACGUGAGCUUCCGGGGGACAAACUACAUCAAACCACAGUGGCUCCCAAGGCACGAGUGACCACCCAGGACUGGGAGAGUGCCUGGACUCCCUGAUGGGCAGCAUCGCCACAAGAGCAUCUGGUUAUGCAUCACGUCCACUGUGCAGUCCAGGCCUGAGGCGAGGGCCUCCCACACAGGAGGUGAGUGGACAAGUGAGUGGGUACCAAAGACAGGAGAAGGCCAGGGCAGGUGUGGUCCUCCACGCUCACCCUGGAGGGAGCAGGCACGUCUGCCCAGGGCAGCCUGCGUCCCCUGGGGGUGGAGCAGAUUGGGAGUCGACGUCCUAACUCACCAACUCCGCUGGACGCCUCUAACCCGCGGCGACCCCUUUCCCUGUUUUCCACCCCAGAAAGUCACUACUCACAAAGCGUCAUUUUUGUGAGCACUAGACUUGGCUAAAUUUUCUGAAUGGAGAAACUCACGUCAGCAAGUCACCCCCUUCAAAACUCCAAAAAAACCUUGGCCCAUCAUCGCCCAUUUAUAUGGGUAGAGAGUGACGGUUGGUGGCUGUGCGAAAAGCAAAAUGACCGAAUGUGAAUCACAAGCUCGGCGGUCACCGCAAACAGCCGUCCUGUCUCCGAGACUAGAACGUCAAAACCUCUCUCCCGGCUCUUCUGAGAUGAUGUGUUCCUGAUAAUGAGUCUCUUCCCCGAAAAGAAGCGAGUGUCAGGGACACUGCAGAGGUAGACAGCAAGAGGCCCCAGGUCUCCUGGCACCCUGGCCGCCACUCCGGCCCCUGGCUGCUCACACCUACCUCUUGGGCUUCCUGUUGCAAGAUAUAUAUGACCCGUCCUCCUCACUCCCCGCCGUCCUCGGUGGCCCACUCGCCCCACUCUGAGCCCCCUGCUCCCUCUGAGCCCCGCCCCGUGCUCCCCCAGGGGCUGAGCAGAUGCUGCCUCUUAAGUGCAAAAGAGUUCCCCCUCGAUGUCCAUGAGAUGUGGACUGAGCGGCCGACCCUGCCCUACAGCGUCCCCAGGGCCUAACACGACCCUCGGCACAUAGCAGGUGCUGGAUAAUAUUCGUCAGAUGAAGGAACAAAUGACAUUUUGGUUGCUCAUCCACUUCAG